UCUCUCUCUGUGGGCGGAGCUGUGGACCAAUCACAGUCUGGAGGAGCAAAUGUUUAUCUUAUGCUCCUCCAGACUUUUCCAAGGUCCUCAAAAUGCAAAAACUACCAAAUAAGGACAGAAAGAAUUUCUACCAAAGAAAAGUAAGAAACCUCCAGUAUGAAUUCUUUCUCAUUUAGUAACUUCUUAUCUCAAGUUUAAUUCCUGCAGUGUGAAUAUCAGAUCUGGGCCAUAAAAUCUUUUUCAUAUGAAAAGUCAGAACCUGCUUCCUGCUGUGUUUUUUCUAAGGUGUUAAACUGAUCAGCAGCUGUUCAGACGACAACAUGACGGAUUCACAUCUGGACAAAACGCAGCUCUUCUGAUGGAGAAGACAGAAGUGAAGAAUCUGUUUCUGAACMUGCAGCAACUUGAGCAUCAUGUUGGAAAUGAAGUUUGUCUCUUUGGUCUCUGCACACAUUUCAAUUCAACCCAAUUCAAAAAUACCUUUUGAUUCCAAACGGAAAUUAAAUAUUAAAUGUAAUAAUAUGA